AGUCCACCCAAACUCAUGUCCAUCGAGUCGGUGAUGCUUAAACACAGACAUCACAGUAGCAGUUGAGAGCUCUUUUACCGGGAAAGUGCUUAAGUUGGGGUUUCUCCCCCGCAUCCAACAUUCCCAAGGGAAGAAAUUCUUAGGCAUGAAUUCACUGAUAAUUUUUGUGAUGCGGAAGGCUGAUUGGACAUUUGGUUUCCUGCAAAGACUGGCAUUUGUUACUACUGUUGGGGAGAGCUGUGUGAGGUUUGUGGACAGAGUGGGCUUGCAUUUCUGGGGAGGGUUUCAUAAGCCUGGCUGAGUCCCUUUACCACACACCUGAAACUAUCAUAGCAUUGUUAAUCGGCUAUGUGUGGCAUGUGUGUGCUAAGUCACUAUGGUUGUGUCUGACUCUUUGCAACGCCUUGGACUGUAGCCCACAGGCUUGGACUGUAGCCCAUGCAGGCUCCUCAGUCCAUGGGACUCCCCAGGCAAGAAUACUGGAGUGGGGGGCCAUUCCCUUCUCCAGGGGAUCUUCCCGACCCAGGGAUAGAACCCCCCUCUCUUACGCCUCCUGUGUUGGUAGGCAGGUUCUUUACUAGAACCACCUGCGAAGUGGCUUUUCAUACAUACGUCAAGACAAAAUUGAAAGCUAAAAAGCAAAAUGAACAUUUAAAAAAGAUAGAUCCAACACUUGUAAACAUACAGAUUGGUUUUAAGGGUGUGUUUGUACAUAGCGUAAUGGAGAAGAGAAGAUUCCAGCAAGGAAACAAAUACAGCCCUGCAGAGCCCCCAAGGAUAUGGGAGGAAUCGCAAGGCUUUCAGAUGCGUGCGUUUAAGAGGUCUUAAAAGACUGAGAUGCAAAUUCCUCCAGGCGCCUGGGAAGCUGGCGGGGGUAUCUCCGGUCGCACACCUGCUGGGCAUUGCCCUGUCUUUAGUGGAGCGACCAGGCGGGGCUGUGAUUUCAUCGUAAGCCAGCUCAAAUCCCUUGAUCCCACGGGCACGGCUGAGCCAGUUCAGGUUGCCGUUUUGAGAAACAGAAAGGAGAGGCUCAGUCCAACGGUGUCUACGGCUGUUGAAGAGCGCUCUGCGGUCUCAGAGAGCAGCCGUCAAGCAGGAGUGAUUCCCCGGCAUCUCCACAUCCUCCCUGAGACCUUUGACGAUGUCUGUGGACGCUCUUGGUUGUCACCGCUGUGGGCUUCCGGCGGGAUGGGUGGGGAGGGGGGAAGACCUGGGACACUGCUCCACACCCCACGACAAGCAGGACGCCCCACUUCAGAGAGUCGUCCGGCACCCAGAGGUCAGUAGUGCGGAGGCUGAGAAACCCUCACUUACAGAUCACAUCUGUCUGUCUCACUAUCUCUCAUCUAUCUAUGUCUCUCUGGCUAUAUCAUCC
rnacentral:lncRNA from 1 species